rnacentral:ribozyme from 1 species
CUUAACACAUCCUCAAAUAUAGCACGUGCAUGUGCGUGCCUCAUUAAAAAAAAAAAAAUUCUGCUUGUUCUGACCAAAAAACAAUAAAAAAAUAAAGUGUCUACUGUCCAUAAAAUCUCAAUAAUGUACACAUCAUCUUUUUGGUCUCUAUCGCUCUAUCUCUCUUUCUCUUUCUCUAUGUGCGUCAAUUGUAAAAAG